rnacentral:lncRNA from 1 species
ACCCUGCAGAGAUUUCUCUUCUGAAAACACAGUAUGUCCUUGUCAAUCUACUUUAUUGAUUUGUUUGCUUGCUUGCUUGCUUGCUUGUUUGUUUGUUUAGGAACUCAGACCCUAUCUUAACUGAGCAGGAGGAUAAGAAAUGAGUGAACCGUGGUGGUACGCACAGUAACCAGAAGGAAGACUUUUCAACAACAAGAUCGGCUGCCACCAUAUGUUCCCCCAGUUUCUAAUACAGAGCAGAUCAGCUAGGUGUUACUAUCUCCCCAGAAUCAAGACUGAGGUUAAACAAACAUUCAGCUGGUUUUAAGUGAGGCUUUGUCAUGCACAGAACAGUGGAGAACGGUGACAUUUCGUAAUUGGUAGCAUCAACCAACACACACACUUCAGAACACACAACUUAAGCAAACACGCACACCCAACGACAAACCAGGGGGGAAAGGCGCAGGUGUACAAGGUAGAGCGAGCAGACACCUAGAGGCAUUGUCCCGGACAGGGUGGGCUCCUGUUCUUGGAUUACUUACCGGCACAAGUCCCGCUUCUCUCGCUUCUCUCGAGAGGACCUGGCUGACAGUUCCCGGUCUGCCAUGCUGUGACGCUGAGUAUGCUAAUCUUUAAAAACACCAGCAGGAAGGCGAGCAACAGCCAGGUUGGCCUUCGGCCCCAGGGCAUCUUUUAUUUAGCUGCCUUUCCAGGUCCUUCUGCACCUCUCGAGAGCCUCUGAGUGCAGCCGGAAAGGCUCCGGGAGAGUUCUUUGUCUCACUUUUUUUUUCCCUUUGGACAGCAAUAAGAAGUACCUGACACCCGUAUGACAAAUUUCCCAGAGCCUAAGAGCCCUGCAAGGCCUGCAGGUGACUGAUUUCUCCCUGAGACAGGCACAACCAGGCAAAGGAUGAAAGAGAAACGAGACAGGAAAGAAUUGAUGGAAAGUUCCAAGCCCCACCGGGAUGAGGGAUGGUGCUAACAACGAAAUAUGCAGAUAGGAUUCCUUCCCUAUAUACAGAUAGGAAUCCCUUCUCCUUUUGGAACCCAGAGAGACUCUGCUCUCCUUUUUAAAGCUCUUCUGGCUCCACCUCCUCUUCUUUAGUGACACUUGAGCAAGCAGACAAGCCUCUUUGCAAACACCAUGAGAGCAAUUCCACCAGAGCAAGCAGGAAGGCAGGGCAGGGUGCCAGAGAGGAGAUAGCUGCUACUCACUAAAAAUAUUCAGGGUAGAGAAGGGGGAAAGAGCAAUUUGGGGGUGUGGCACAGCUAAUGGUUCCAGGGACCUGCUGAGUACUGCUUAUGUCUGAGGAUCUUGAAGAACAGAGACAAAAUUAAACCACACUUUUUAAAUCAAAGUUCUUUAUCUAGGCAGCUCUGACCCUGUGGAAGGAGAAACAAGCCCUAAAGGAGCAGCGGAAGACAUGCAGAUGAGUGUACACAACGUUUUAUUGCUCUCUGGACUCACAGAGACUCAAGACUAAGAAUGGAGGUUCUACAAAUAACCUGUGCUGAGUGGAGAACCUAUUGACUGACUGAAUUGGCUCAGUCAGGUGGUGCCCCAACAUUGGAGCUCCAAUAAACAGGAUACAGCGAAGGACACCAUGGGAAGAGGAUGCGCUCACAGAGGAAAAUUUGGGCCAGUGGAAGAAAAUGGGGCUCGGUGGUUGCCAGAAAGGCUGGUGCGACAAUGGAACAACCUCAUGCUCCUGCUGAUUCCCCUACUGAUGACGAUGACCCCUGCACAGACUGAAGUCCACUGGGCCUAUGUUCCUGACCGGCCACUGAUAUAUCCAGCAGUGUGGUCCAGACUGGAGAGUCUCAUAACCAGUAAUAAUACUCAACUUCUUGGACGCCCCCCCCCAACCAAUUUAUAAUAAAACUGUGCCUUUCAAUUCAUUGGGUAAUGGGAUCCCUGUUUGCUUUGUGAAGAAUAGUACAAAUGAUGGUUGUAUUUGAGUGUUUCCUCAAACUUGGAAGAUAAACGUUUCACAAACAGUAACUCAAGGCAUAGAUAUAGGCAUGCCUAAACAUUAUAAGGGAUUUGCCCCUUAUCCUCAUGAGCUACGACCUUGUGGAUCUGUACCCACAGAGAGUGUGGAACAGGGAUUUAACAAAAGAAUGUUUUAAUCAACCCCCAAUGUGGUUUAAUGUUUCCAAGAGAAUUCGAAUUAUUGAUUGGGCAGGAAAUCAGUCAGACAUUGGGCAAAAGGAGAUGUCCAUAGGCCUUUGGCAAUCAGAAGCAGGCCAUUUCCAACGGCAUAUCUGAAAGCUAGCUGCAGCUCUCUAUGAAGUUACAUUGGCUACAAACAAAAUUGGGACAGGAUUUGGAUUUCGAACAAGUGUUAGUGCAUGUUUUAAAGCUCCCAACCUUUCAUUAAUUGGUCAUGAUAAAAUUACUUUUGUUUCUUCUACAGUAUUUAAUGUAAGUUGUAUUGAUUGUACACUUUCUAAUUGUGUUAGUGUGUUGAAACCUGGCAUGUCUGUUAUGGUGGUCUGUCAACCAGCUUUUGUUUUAUUGCCUGUGAAUAUUAUAGGACCUUGAUAUUUUGAGAAAAGCUUGCAGGUACUAGAAGAAGUGAGUCAGGCUUUAAGGAGAAGAAAAGAGAGUAGUGGGCUUGGUUAUUGCUUGUAUAGAAGCUGUAAUUACAUUGAUAGCUAGUAACACUGCCUUUGCAAUUGCUUUGAUACAAGAAGUUAAGACAGCUCGUUUUUGUUAAUCAUUUAGCAAAAAUGUUACUAAUGUUCUGAGUAUUCAAGAGGAUUUAGAUAGGCAUCUAGAACAAUGGAUUGAUACUUUUUAUGAUACUACUCAAAUUAUUAGAGAGGAGGUUCAGAGUCUAAAAGUAAGGAGCCAUCUCAAAUGCCAUGCCAAAUACCAAUGGAUUUGUGUUACUUCUAAAGUUUACAAUGGCAGUCACUAUAGUUGGGAAAUUUUUCAAAGACACUUGCAGGGUAUUUGGCAUAAUUCCAACACCUCUCUGGAUAUUUUAGCUUUUCAUAGUGAGUUUAUGAAUUUAAAGAAUGCUGCUCUGCUGAGCUUUGAUGCUGCUGAUAUUACUGGUAAAAUUAUCCAUGGCCUGAAGUCAGUAUUUCCAUCUUGGUCAAGUUUCAAGAAUGACAUAUAUGGCUUGAUCAUGUUAGCCCUCCUUGUCUUGGGAAUAUCUUAUUCCUGUACAUCAUGUUAAAGCUUGUCUUUAACAAUAUCAACUUGUCGGCAGCCAAAGUACAUGACUUGAAACUAAAAGCAAACUCCCAGACAGAGUUAUUAAUUUAACAGGUUGGCAAGCCAGGGACAGGUAAGAUUCUGCACAGAACCUUACCAACCUAAGACAGAGGCAUGCCUGGAAAGGCCAUGUUUGUUUAUAACAAACACUAAAAGGCCAUGUUUGCUCUUAUAACACAAACAAGCUGUGCAUAUCUUGAAGACGGGUAAGGAAGGCAUUCUUGUCAGAACAACCUAAGACAGGCUCAGCCUUGUUUAUGAAUUAAGAGUGGGAGAUAUGGAGAGCCUUUUGGGGGUGCUUGGCAGGAAUCUGACAUUGGCCAAGGACAAGGAAAUGGGCAGGAAUAUGACAUUGGCCAAGGACAAGGAAAUGGGCCCCUUGGCAGCAAUCUGACAUUAGGGCAUGACAAAGAAGUAAGCUCAGGCAGGGACCUGACAUUGGCCAAGGACAAGGAAGUAAGAAUCUGGUUUUAGGGUAGAACAAAGAAGUAGGCUCAGAUAUCUUGGUCAUCCUUAGAAACAGCUAUCACCAGAGUGAUCAUGGGGCUUUGUGUUUAUUGUCUUGCUUGUCCUUAACUAUUAUCUUGCUUGAGCCCUCAUUGUACUUGCAUGUAACUAAAAUGGUAUAAAAGCAGAUUGGGAAAAUUAAAUUUGUCUUCAGACUUG